rnacentral:rRNA from 1 species
GAACGCUGGCGGCGUGCCUAAUACAUGCAAGUCGAGCGAACAGAUAAGGAGCUUGCUCCUUUGACGUUAGCGGCGGACGGGUGAGUAACACGUGGGUAACCUACCUAUAAGACUGGGAUAACUUCGGGAAACCGGAGCUAAUACCGGAUAACAUUUGGAACCGCAUGGUUCUAAAGUGAAAGAUGGUUUUGCUAUCACUUAUAGAUGGACCCGCGCCGUAUUAGCUAGUUGGUAAGGUAACGGCUUACCAAGGCGACGAUACGUAGCCGACCUGAGAGGGUGAUCGGCCACACUGGAACUGAGACACGGUCCAGACUCCUACGGGAGGCAGCAGUAGGGAAUCUUCCGCAAUGGGCGAAAGCCUGACGGAGCAACGCCGCGUGAGUGAUGAAGGGUUUCGGCUCGUAAAACUCUGUUAUUAGGGAAGAACAAAUGUGUAAGUAACUGUGCACGUCUUGACGGUACCUAAUCAGAAAGCCACGGCUAACUACGUG